AUUGAACGCUGGCGGCAGGCUUAACACAUGCAAGUCGAGCGGGGUGAUGGUGCUUGCACUAUCACUUAGCGGCGGACGGGUGAGUAAUGCUUAGGAAUCUGCCUAUUAGUGGGGGACAACAUCUCGAAGGGGAUGCUAAUACCGCAUACGUCCUACGGGAGAAAGCAGGGGAUCACUUGUGACCUUGCGCUAAUAGAUGAGCCUAAGUCGGAUUAGCUAGUUGGUGGGGUAAAGGCCUACCAAGGCGACGAUCUGUAGCGGGUCUGAGAGGAUGAGCCGCCACACUGGAACUGAGACACGGCACAGACUCCUACGGGAGGCAGCAGUGGGGAAUAUUGGACAAUGGGGGGAACCCUGAUCCAGCCAUGCCGCGUGUGUGAAGAAGGCCUUAUGGUUGUAAAGCACUUUAAGCGAGGAGGAGGCUCUUUUGGUUAAUACCCAAGAUGAGUGGACGUUACUCGCAGAAUAAGCACCGGCUAACUCUGUGCCAGCCGCCGCCGUAA
rnacentral:rRNA from 1 species